rnacentral:ncRNA from 1 species
GAGAGCUGUAUGACAAAAAAUUGUCAUGUAUGGUUCGGAGGGCAGCAUAGACUGACCCCUAU